GGGUUGUGAGGUUAAGCGACUAAGCGUACACGGUGGAUGCCCUGGCAGUCAGAGGCGAUGAAGGACGUGCUAAUCUGCGAUAAGCGUCGGUGAGGUGAUAUGAACCGUUAUAACCGGCGAUUUCCGAAUGGGGAAACCCAGUGUGUUUCGACACACUAUCAUUAACUGAAUCCAUAGGUUAAUGAGGCGAACCGGGGGAACUGAAACAUCUAAGUACCCCGAGGAAAAGAAAUCAACCGAGAUUCCCCCAGUAGCGGCGAGCGAACGGGGAGGAGCCCAGAGCCUGAAUCAGUGUGUGUGUUAGUGGAAGCGUCUGGAAAGGCGCGCGAUACAGGGUGACAGCCCCGUACACAAAAAUGCACAUGCUGUGAGCUCGAUGAGUAGGGCGGGACACGUGGUAUCCUGUCUGAAUAUGGGGGGACCAUCCUCCAAGGCUAAAUACUCCUGACUGACCGAUAGUGAACCAGUACCGUGAGGGAAAGGCGAAAAGAACCCCGGCGAGGGGAGUGAAAAAGAACCUGAAACCGUGUACGUACAAGCAGUGGGAGCCUCUUAAUGGGGUGACUGCGUACCUUUUGUAUAAUGGGUCAGCGACUUAUAUUCUGUAGCAAGGUUAACCGAAUAGGGGAGCCGAAGGGAAACCGAGUCUUAACUGGGCGUUAAGUUGCAGGGUAUAGACCCGAAACCCGGUGAUCUAGCCAUGGGCAGGUUGAAGGUUGGGUAACACUAACUGGAGGACCGAACCGACUAAUGUUGAAAAAUUAGCGGAUGACUUGUGGCUGGGGGUGAAAGGCCAAUCAAACCGGGAGAUAGCUGGUUCUCCCCGAAAGCUAUUUAGGUAGCGCCUCGUGAAUUCAUCUCCGGGGGUAGAGCACUGUUUCGGCAAGGGGGUCAUCCCGACUUACCAACCCGAUGCAAACUGCGAAUACCGGAGAAUGUUAUCACGGGAGACACACGGCGGGUGCUAACGUCCGUCGUGAAGAGGGAAACAACCCAGACCGCCAGCUAAGGUCCCAAAGUCAUGGUUAAGUGGGAAACGAUGUGGGAAGGCCCAGACAGCCAGGAUGUUGGCUUAGAAGCAGCCAUCAUUUAAAGAAAGCGUAAUAGCUCACUGGUCGAGUCGGCCUGCGCGGAAGAUGUAACGGGGCUAAACCAUGCACCGAAGCUGCGGCAGCGACACUAUGUGUUGUUGGGUAGGGGAGCGUUCUGUAAGCCUGUGAAGGUGGCCUGUGAGGGUUGCUGGAGGUAUCAGAAGUGCGAAUGCUGACAUAAGUAACGAUAAAGCGGGUGAAAAGCCCGCUCGCCGGAAGACCAAGGGUUCCUGUCCAACGUUAAUCGGGGCAGGGUGAGUCGACCCCUAAGGCGAGGCCGAAAGGCGUAGUCGAUGGGAAACAGGUUAAUAUUCCUGUACUUGGUGUUACUGCGAAGGGGGGACGGAGAAGGCUAUGUUGGCCGGGCGACGGUUGUCCCGGUUUAAGCGUGUAGGCUGGUUUUCCAGGCAAAUCCGGAAAACCAAGGCUGAGGCGUGAUGACGAGGCACUACGGUGCUGAAGCGACAAAUGCCCUGCUUCCAGGAAAAGCCUCUAAGCAUCAGGUAACAUCAAAUCGUACCCCAAACCGACACAGGUGGUCAGGUAGAGAAUACCAAGGCGCUUGAGAGAACUCGGGUGAAGGAACUAGGCAAAAUGGUGCCGUAACUUCGGGAGAAGGCACGCUGAUAUGUAGGUGAAGCGACUUGCUCGUGGAGCUGAAAUCAGUCGAAGAUACCAGCUGGCUGCAACUGUUUAUUAAAAACACAGCACUGUGCAAACACGAAAGUGGACGUAUACGGUGUGACGCCUGCCCGGUGCCGGAAGGUUAAUUGAUGGGGUUAGCGGUAACGCGAAGCUCUUGAUCGAAGCCCCGGUAAACGGCGGCCGUAACUAUAACGGUCCUAAGGUAGCGAAAUUCCUUGUCGGGUAAGUUCCGACCUGCACGAAUGGCGUAAUGAUGGCCAGGCUGUCUCCACCCGAGACUCAGUGAAAUUGAACUCGCUGUGAAGAUGCAGUGUACCCGCGGCAAGACGGAAAGACCCCGUGAACCUUUACUAUAGCUUGACACUGAACAUUGAGCCUUGAUGUGUAGGAUAGGUGGGAGGCUUUGAAGUGUGGACGCCAGUCUGCAUGGAGCCGACCUUGAAAUACCACCCUUUAAUGUUUGAUGUUCUAACGUUGGCCCGUAAUCCGGGUUGCGGACAGUGUCUGGUGGGUAGUUUGACUGGGGCGGUCUCCUCCUAAAGAGUAACGGAGGAGCACGAAGGUUGGCUAAUCCUGGUCGGACAUCAGGAGGUUAGUGCAAUGGCAUAAGCCAGCUUGACUGCGAGCGUGACGGCGCGAGCAGGUGCGAAAGCAGGUCAUAGUGAUCCGGUGGUUCUGAAUGGAAGGGCCAUCGCUCAACGGAUAAAAGGUACUCCGGGGAUAACAGGCUGAUACCGCCCAAGAGUUCAUAUCGACGGCGGUGUUUGGCACCUCGAUGUCGGCUCAUCACAUCCUGGGGCUGAAGUAGGUCCCAAGGGUAUGGCUGUUCGCCAUUUAAAGUGGUACGCGAGCUGGGUUUAGAACGUCGUGAGACAGUUCGGUCCCUAUCUGCCGUGGGCGCUGGAGAACUGAGGGGGGCUGCUCCUAGUACGAGAGGACCGGAGUGGACGCAUCACUGGUGUUCGGGUUGUCAUGCCAAUGGCACUGCCCGGUAGCUAAAUGCGGAAGAGAUAAGUGCUGAAAGCAUCUAAGCACGAAACUUGCCCCGAGAUGAGUUCUCCCUGACUCCUUGAGAGUCCUGAAGGAACGUUGAAGACGACGACGUUGAUAGGCCGGGUGUGUAAGCGCAGCGAUGCGUUGAGCUAACCGGUACUAAUGAACCGUGAGGCUUAACCUUACAACGCCGAAG
rnacentral:rRNA from 1 species